UACAGCAGCCAUAUCACCCUGCAACUCACAACUGGUAACCGACUGAAGCAAAGCAGGUGUGAGCCUGGUCAGUACCUGGAUGGGAGACCUCCUGGGAAAAACUAGGGUUGCUGCUGGAA
ensembl:rRNA 5S_rRNA 5S ribosomal RNA